rnacentral:tRNA from 1 species
GCGGGUAUUGUUUAAUGGUAGAACCUCAGCCUUCCAAGCUGAUGAUGCGAGUUCGAUCCUCGCUACCCGCUCCA